UGCCGCGCUCCGCCGAACGCCGCCAGCCCUGACGACCUCGGAGCGGACUCCGUCAAGAGACAAAGUACAAAAGCAGAUACACGACCAGACUGAGGCUAUCCUGAAGAAAAGCUGAUCUCCUGCAUGAGCUCCUGAACUCUGAUGACUUCUAGAAGAGAGAGAAAUGAGACAGAAACCUGCUGGAGGGUUCAGGUUCAUGAUAAUUAGCCGUUAGGAGGCUGUUGGAGUACCUCUGACAGGUGAAGCCCAUCCUCCAAAGGGACAGUGGAGAGAAAUGAGAGGCUGUAAACUCCACGAGAAUGAUGUCCAUGCCUGUUUUGUUCACUGCUGUGUUCCCAGAACCUAGAACAGAGCCUGGCAUGGAGGG